rnacentral:rRNA from 1 species
UAAUACAGAGGUCCCAAGCGUUGUUCGGAUUCAUUGGGCGUAAAGGGUGCGUAGGCGGUGCCGUAAGUCGGAUGUGAAAUCCCGGAGCUUAACUCCGGAACUGCAUUCGAUACUGCGGUGCUUGAGGACUGGAGAGGAGAUCGGAAUUCACGGUGUAGCAGUGAAAUGCGUAGAUAUCGUGAGGAAGACCAGUGGCGAAGGCGGAUCUCUGGACAGUUCCUGACGCUGAGGCACGAAGGCCAGGGGAGCAAACGGG